AAGAGAAAGGCCAGUUCUGUGGACAAAGUCAAGUGCCUGCCAUGACACUCAGGCACCACUUAGCGUCACACUCCGCUCAGUGUCAUAUUCCCGAGAACUUCCCCACUACCUCAGAGGCUCCUCCCAGGUCUGUGGGACUGGAGUGGUUUCCAGAACUCUAUCCUGGUUACGUUGGACUGGGGGUGUUGCCAAGGAGGCCUCAGCCUUGGAACUGGGCAGCUCAGAUGCCUCCUCUUGCCACUUUCCAGGGCAGGAGCGUCUCAAAAGGCUGGGUGCUGUGCAACACCACCAUAAAGAGGAGUGGUGUCGGACGCCUCUCGAUGCUGUUUGCUGGCUACUUUGUCCUGUGCUGUAGCUGGAGCUUCAAGCAUCUGAAGCUGCAGCGCUGGCGUAAGUAAGGAUGAGCGUGCCCGGGAGCCACGGAAUGUGACAGAGACUGCAGAGAAGAGACACUUUAAAUUUGUGCCAGGUCAGGGAGAGUGCAAAUAAUAAAAUGCUGAAAUCGC
rnacentral:lncRNA from 1 species